UAAAUGGAACCAGUGUGGUUGCUAUGAUGAUAGAGGUACCCAUUACAGCGUUGGAGAUGAGGCUCCAUCAAACAACUGUUACACUUGCUCCUGUAAGGUUUCCGGAAUGUCAUGCAGCUACAACAUGAGCUCCUGUAAAUGCUUCGUAAACGGAAAAUACUACGGAUAUGGGGAAACCAUCUACCGGAU